CAAAAUGGCAAAUACUUUUAGACUUACGACCACUCUUUUUCUUCUUCUUCUUCUUCUUCCUCUACUAGCUUUCUUCCAAACCUGCCAUGGCGAAUCACCUGGCAUAGCCGUCUACUGGGGUCAAGACGGUCGCGAAGGAACCCUAACACAGGCUUGUACCAGCGGCCUCUAUUCCUAUAUCAUCAUAGCUUUCAUUUACGAGUACGGCAGCUACCAACCCCCUAAUGUUAACCUUGCCGGUCACUGCACUCCGUCCAUCAACAACUGCAAGUUCAUUGGCCCGGAGAUCACUGCUUGCCAAAACCUAGGAAUCAAGGUCUUAAUCUCCAUUGGUGGAGCAAACGGUCAGCGUCAGUCCCUCGCCGAUGCUGGCGAUGCUAAAUAUCUCGCCGAUUAUAUUUACAAUAAUUUCUUGGGUGGAUCCGCCUCCGACCGUCUGUUCGGAGAUGCUGUAUUGGACGGCGUUGAUUUCGACAUGGAGUCGCGAAGUUCAUAUCUUGACGAUCUUGCUAGGUACCUGCAUGAACAUAGUACACCGCAACGAAAGGUGUAUCUAUCGGCGGCUCCACAGUGUCCCUUCCCUGAUGCAAACAUUGGAGCUGCACUUAACACAGGGCUGUUCGACUAUGUUUGGAUUCAAUUAUUAAUAUAAUUUUAUCUGUUAUUUUCGACGUGAGUGUCAAGCUGGCAUCAGGGCGUCACAAAUUUUUAUAAAAAUAAUCAAUGAACGAUGAAAAUUAUAUAAACUAAGAAAAAACAGUAAAAGCAUUUCUAACAAGGUAAAAAUACACGAAAAACAGCCUCGUUCUAAUAAGAGAGAAUAGGGAGGGAAGAGUGUAUUUGAAUCCACUUAUUGUGUAACACAUUUUUUUCCUUUUUCUUUUGAUAAAAAAAUUAAAUUGAUUUUUCACAGUUAUAAAAUAUUUUUUUUACCUAAAAAUAUAAUAAAUUAAUUAAAAUUUAAUAUAAUUUGAUUAUUAUAAUUUAUAUAAUGAAAAAAUAUAGUAUAUUAAAUAUAUAUGAUAUGAAAUGGUUCGCAUCUAUAAAUACCCAGCAAAGAAGCUGAUGAAAACCACUCUUCUUCUUCUUCUUCUUCUUCUUCCUCUUCCUCUCCUAGCAUUCUUCCAAACCUCCCAUGGCGAAUGACCCGGCAUAGAUGUCUACUGGGGCCAAGACGCUCGUGAAGGAACCCUAACGACGGCUUGUAACAGCGGCCUCUAUUCCUCUAUCAUCGUAGCAUUCAUUUACGAGUACGGUGGUUGCCAACUCCCUUCCGUCAACCUUGCCGGUCACCGCAACCCAGCUGACAACGGCUGCAAAUUCAUCGGCCCAGAGAUCACCACUUGCCAGAACCUAGGAAUCAAGGUCUUAAUAUCCAUUGGGGGAGCAUAUGGUCGUCGCCAAUCCCUCACGGACUCUACUGAUGCCAAAUAUCUCGCAGAUUAUAUUUACAAUAAUUUCUUGGGCGGAUACGCUCCAAACCGUCUGUUCGGAGAUGCUGCGUUAGACGGCGUUGAUUUCGACUUGGAGUCGCCAAGUUCAUAUCUUGACGAUCUUGCUAAGUACCUGCACGUAUAUAGUACACCACAACGAAAGGCGUAUCUAUCGGCGGCUCCACAGCGCAUCUUCCCGGAUGCGAACAUUGGAGCUGCACUUAAUACAGGCUUGUUAGACUACGUUUGGAUUCAGUUUUACAACAAUCCUCCAUGUCAAUAUAAUGGGGAUAGUCAAAAUCUUAUUGCAGCAUGGAAGAAAUGGACCUCGUCGAUAAAUGCUCGAUAUUUCUUCGUGGGAUUACCAGGAUCUCCGCAAGCUGCAGGAAGUGGGUAUGCUAACUCCACCCAGAUUUGCAAAGAAAUUCUUCCUGAGAUAAAGAAAUCAGCAAAGUAUGGCGGCGUAAUGAUUUGGUUACAAAAUCAGUCCCGAGAUCAUUAACUGCAUGAAGGAAUCAAGCCUGAUCAAAUCUGUCGCUGAGUAUUAAUGCACCACCUGAGUAAUAAUGUGAAAUAAAAUUAAGCAUCAUCAGAUUAAUUAUCACGAUCAUAUGAAGUUUGUAGUGAUCUCAUGGGGAAAUUUACUAUCAUAAGACCCCUCCAUGUAUUACUUACAUAUAAUAUAUUAGUACUUUGAUUCCCAUGUCCCAUAUACUUACUUACGUACAUUAUACUAUCUAUAUAUAUAUAUAUAUAUUUGAAAACUCUCAUUUUAGAUAUGAUUUAACAUUGCUAAUAAGAAUAAAGACUUACAUAUUUUUUGGUAUCUACACUUUUUGCUUUAUUUAAUUUUGUUUUUUAUACAAUUUUUUUUUCUUCGUUUGGUCCUUGUACUUUUAAAAACUAUUCGUAUUUACCCAUAUUUAUUAGUUUUUGUUAUCUCCGUUAAUUUAUUUAUUAUGUAUCAUCAGAAUUAACAUACGAUAUAAUUUAUUUAUUAUAUAUUUGUCAUUAUACAGGAAUAUAUAUAUAUAUCUUGGCAUCUAAAAAUUUCUGAAUAAUUUCUGAGUAUUUGAUCCUAUGUAUAAUAAUUUAUUUUAAUCAACUCUGACUAUCUAUAUUUUAACAGUAAUAUAAGAUCAUAAUUGAUAUUUAAUUUGGAAACAAAAUUGAGGAUUAUGAAAUCUAAUAGUUUGGUGUCUAAAACAAAAAUGACUAAAGUAAUCUUAGCAUAAACGUAAAUACUCAUCGUAUCGGUAGCUGAAUGAUAAUCUUUUCGACUAUUGGUUGGAUUAUUCGGACGAAGAAAAUGAAACCCUCUUCAAAAGUGAUAAGAACGAUAACAUCUCUUACAACUCUUUCGUUAUUGGUACUACUUCAAAGUACUAGAAAAUUUAAAAAUUUUAUCGUAAUUUGAUAGAGCAAAUUACUCCCACGAGAUAUUUUUUAGUGGGUCGAAAGAAUCUCUUUCUAAAUAGUUUAAGUUUGAUACACAUACUCCGAACGUGGUGACUCGGGCAUGAGUAUAAUUUUAAUUUCUUAAUUUUUUUUUGCUAUUUUUCACAGAAAAAUAAGAAACUAAAGAUGAGGGGCUGGUGCAAAUGUAGGUAGGAGAAUUAAGAAAGUGAAGAUCAACAAGGAUCAAUUGGGUUCGCGCCACGUGUCAAAAUAAUAAAUGGAUUGGAACUGUUUCAUGGAUUUACGUUAACUAUUAGAAUAUUUUUUUUGUUUUGAAAGUUUGUAAUUCAUAUAUGUUUGCUUACAAAAUUUUAUAUUAUUAUUUAGAAAAUUAUACAUCAAAUACUGGCAGGACAUGAACAGAGUACGUGGUUUGAACAUAUGAUUCACAUCUAUAAAUAGCUAGCGGAGAAGUUGAUGAAAACCCAACAAACAAAACCAAAACAAAAUGGCAAUUAACAUUAAACCUACAGCCACUCUUCUUCUUCUUCUUCCUCUCCUAGCAUUAUUCCAAACCUGCCAUGGCGAAUCACCUGGCAUAGCCGUCUACUGGGGUCAAGACGGUCGCGAAGGAACCCUAGCACAGGCUUGUAAUAGCGGCCUCUAUUCCUAUAUCAUCAUAGCUUUCAUUUUCG
rnacentral:lncRNA from 1 species